rnacentral:rRNA from 1 species
AUUGAACGCUGGCGGCAGGCAUAACACAUGCAAGUCGAACGAGUGGCGGACGGGUGAGUAAUGUCUGGGAAACUGCCUGAUGGAGGGGGAUAACUACUGGAAACGGUAGCUAAUACCGCAUACCAUCGGAUGUGCCCAGAUGGGAUUAGCUAGUAGGUGGGGUAAAGGCUCACCUAGGCGACGAUCCCUAGCUGGUCUGAGAGGAUGACCAGCCAAGUGGGAACUGGGAAACGGUCGAGACGCCCAGGGGAGGCAGAAGGUGGGAAUAGUGCAAAAUGGGCGCAAGCAUGAUGCAGCCAGGGCGGGUGUAUGAAGAAGGCCUUCGGGUUGUAAAGUACUUUCAGCGGGGAGGCGUUACCCGCAGAAGAAGCACCGGCUAACUCCGUGCCAGCAGCCGCGGUAAUAC